rnacentral:rRNA from 1 species
ACCAGAGUUGCCCUCCAAUAGAAAGAAUUAAAGGAUUUAAAUUGUACCCAUUCCGAGGACAGAUCUCAAAGAGGACUUUCUCGUUAUUUUUUGUCCCUACCUCUCCGUUCUGAAAAUGGGUAAUUUGCGCGCCUGCUGCCUUCCUUGGAUGUGGUAACGUGUCUCAAGCUCCCUCUCCGGAAUCUAAACCUUUUUCUCCGUUUCGCAUUAUACCAUGGUAAGGGUCAAACGACCAUUCAAAAUGAUAAGAAGAAACUGAUAAAAUACUCGCGAGGGACAUAACAGUGCCAAUGGGGAAAGUUUUUAGAUUUUCCAAAUUUAUGGCCGAAAACCCAUGGAUUUUAUUCUAAUGAAGCACUGGGUCCCUCUCGGGGGAACUUUUUUUAUGGAUUAGCUCUGAACUUCCACCUGAUCCAUGUAGGAUAGCUACUUUUUUAACAAGGGGUGUUGGUUAAAUUAUACGCGGUUGCCUGGUUUAACCUUGUAUG